UGGGGAAUAUUGCACAAUGGGGGAAACCCUGAUGCAGCGACGCCGCGUGAACGAAGAAGGUAUUCGUAUCGUAAAGUUCUGUCCUAUGGGAAGAUAAUGACAGUACCAUAGAAGAAAGCUCCGGCUAAAUACGUGCCAGCAGCCGCGGUAAUACGUAUGGAGCGAGCGUUGUCCGGAAUUAUUGGGCGUAAAGGGUACGCAGGCGGUUUAAUAAGUCGAAUGUUAAAGAUCGGGGCUCAACCCCGCAAAGCAUUGGAAACUGAUAAACUUGAGUAGUGGAGAGGAAAGUGGAAUUCCUUGUGUAGUGGUGAAAUACGUAGAUAUUAGGAGGAAUACCAGUAGCGAAGGCGACUUUCUGGACACAAACUGACGCUGGGGUACGAAAGCGUGGGGAGCAAACAGG
rnacentral:rRNA from 1 species